rnacentral:rRNA from 1 species
CCCCGACCUCCAACCCCUCUGUCUAUCUCUCCACCGUUGCUUUGGCGGUACGUCUGGUGCUCGCCGUACGCGCUACGGUCGAGGAUCGCCAGCAGCCCAGCGUAUGCGGGGCCGCUGAGUUGCCGUCAAGGGGCCAACUAAAAUCUCCGCACGAGUUGGACGUCUAAGAGAGAUAUGAAAUUCGCUUCAAAAACUUUCAACAACGGAUCUCUUGGUUCUGGCAUCGAUGAAGAACGCAGCGAAAUGCGAUAAGUAAUGUGAAUUGCAGAAUUCAGUGAAUCAUCGAAUCUUUGAACGCAUCUUGCGCCCUCCGGUAUCCCGGUGGGCAUGCCUGUUCGAGCGUCAUUAAGACCGUCGAGCACCGCUCGGUAUUGGGCCCGUCGUCCCCGCAGUCGCGGAUGGACGUACCCUAAAUCGUCAAGGCGACGUCCCGCGGUCCCAGGCGUAGCGGAAUGUGAUCUUCACCACGUCUGCGAGGUCCGCGGGGUCGUUCAGCCCCCCGAAUAUAACGCAGAUUUUAACGUUGACCUCGGAUCAGGCAGGGGUACCCGCUGAACUUAAGCAUAUCA